UUACGGUCAAAUCACGCUGAAAACACCGGUUCUCGUUCGAUCACCGAAGUUAAGCAUCGUAGAGCCAGGUCAGUACUUAGAUGGGGGGGACCGCUUGGGAACACCUGGUACUGUAAG